rnacentral:lncRNA from 1 species
GGACUCGCGCGGUGGAGGCCCAGGCGGCGUUUGCGGCCCAGAGCCCAGACCCAACCCGGACGUUCCACCGCCUGCGGCUCGGCACUUUCGCGGCCCUGCAAGGGCCCGCGGGCCGGGGCUGCGGACGCUCGCUUGGCUCGGCAGAAUCUGCUGGCUCGCGGAAUUCGCCCGCCUCCAUUGUUGCCCCUUCUGGCACCCACAUCCCCGGAACGUGGCCCUGCCCCACGGCCGUAAUUGUUCUCCGAAGGGCUCGGCGCUCCUUUUACCAGCCCUUCCCCUUUUUAAAGGACUUUCCCAUUCGCCUGCUUUUCCCCCCCCGGGUUAGUGGUGCUGGGCCCCCCGCAUUUGGGGUGACGACUCAUCCCACCCUCACCCCCGUCUCGCAACUGAGAUAACCUGCACAUGAGAGGGGGCAGCGGCCCCAUUUAUGCGAACUGUUCAUUUGCUUAGAUCGGAACCGUGUGUUUUGUGGCUGUGAGUUAAAACGUGGAGGUCCAGGAAGUGACUGGCUAAAGGCAAAUCCUAUGACUUUAUCCCAAAAUGUAGGCCCGUCUUCCAGAUGACUCACGUGGUACAGUGGCUUACUCCAGAUGAGAUGGCUAUAUAGUUUGCCGUUUCUUGACCAUUUGUUGAAGAGUUCACUUCGAGACUGUUUUGUUCCGAUGGCCUAUCUAUUCAUGCUCCAGUUGCUGAACAAGCCAGAAUAUAAAUAUACCUUUGUUUAAGACUCUCUGUUUGCAUGUAACGGAAACCAACCUGAAACAGCUUAACCAAAAGGGAAGAAUUUAUCAUAAGGAUGUAGGAACUUCUUACAAAUGCCCAGAGCAGGAAGACAGCUACCUCCUAGCAAAAGACUAGAACCAGGAGUUGGAAAACUUCCAGGAACCCAAAAGGAGAAUACAGCCACCUCCACAUUCAGCUAGGAAGUCAGCUCAGUGUGGGCGUCAGAGCCCAAACAAGGAGGGUAGGGAGGCGGUCCUGCAGAGUCAGGUGACUAAUCAAAGACAGGGGGACUACACAAAGAAACACUAUGUCAAGGAUAAUGGGAGCCAGAUUUCUCAUUCUUAAAAUACAGGAAAGGGAAUAGCAAGAAGGCUUGAGGGAUUGCAUUGGAAUUGGAAAUACUGAUGUGAAUACGACGUUUGCAAUAUGUGUAGAUAUAAAAAUAAAUAUAAAUGUGAAAGUAUC